AGCAUUUGAGAGCACUUGUUGAAUUUAAAAUAUGAAGUGUAUUUUGAAAUACACUGUUAAUAAAGGUAAUUUUACACUGUUUGGCUGCUAUUUACAGUUUGAAGACCAAUUAAUAUGAAAUAAUUCUUUAUGAUUUUAAAGGUCUUUAGUUUUAUGAAUUUAUUAUAACCAAGUUGAAAGUAAUUUUUAAACAGUUUAUUGAAAAUACAGUAACCAUUUAAGAGACUGGUUUUCUGGAGCAAAGACUAUCUCUGGGACCUGAAACCAUUCUUUGAAAUUCUUUCCCUGGUGUGCCUGAGUCUUUCUUAACUUGGUGGUUCCAUGUUGAAGGAGUUGUUAAAUGCAGCCCCGGGGGCGGGGGAUGGGUGGGGUGGUGGGGGAAGUUCUGAACUGUAGUUUAAAAAGCUUUCACAAACAUUUUGGUUACUCAGUUUGGAUGGUGUUCUUUAAGUGAGUUUUAUUGACUCAUGGAAUCAUUGAUGACAGAUUAAUAAUUUAAGGUUCAAGUCUGGCAUUGCUAUAGAGAAAUACCUGAGCAUUUGGCAGGCCAAGGUGGGCGGAUCAGGAGGUGAGGAGAUCAAGACCAUCUUGGCCAACAUGGUGAAACCCCAUCUCUACUAAAAUACAAAAAAUUAGCCAGGCGUGGUGGUGCGUGCUACUUGGGAGGCUGAGGCAGGAGAAUGGUGUGAACCCGGGAGGCGGAGCUUGCAGUGAGCCAUGCCACUGCACUCCAGCCUGGGCGACAGGGCGAGACUCUGUCUCAAAAACAAAACAAAAAACACAUUCUGCAGGUAUCAAGGUUUCUGUAUAAGAUAUACUCUGUUUUAUGCAUCAAACAGAACCUGAGUUUUUUCUCUAUACUGUGUUACACUUUUUUUUUAAAAGGAAUUUUUUGUUUGUUUGUUUGUUUUUGAGACAGAGUCUCACCCUGUUGCCCAGGCUGGAGUGCAGUGACACGAUCGCAGCUCACUGCAGCCUGUGCCUCCCAGGUUCAGUUGAUUCUCCUGCCUCAGCCUCCUGAGUAGCUAGAACUAAAGGUGCACGUCACCACGCUUGGCUAAUUUUUUUUUUUUUUUGGUAUUAAAGACGGGGUUUCGCCAUGUUGGCCAGGCUGGUUUUGAACUCCUGACCUCAAGUGUUCUGCCCACUUUGGCCUCCCAAAGUGCUGGGAUUACAGGUGUGAGCCACCAUGCCUUGCUCUGUUUUUUUUUUUUUUUCUUUUUAGGAAUUAUAAAUUAUGUUUUUUUUUUGUUUGUUUUUUUUUUUUUUUGAGAUGGAAGUCUCGCUCUGUCGCCCAGGCUGGAGUGCAGUGGCGUGAUCUCGGCUCACUGCAAACUCCACCUCCUGGGUUCACGCCAUUCUCCUGCCUCAGCCUCCCAAGUAGCUGG
rnacentral:lncRNA from 1 species